AACCUUACCAGGUCUUGACAUCCCUUGACAACUCCAGAGAUGGAGCGUUCCCUUCGGGGACAAGGUGACAGGUGGUGCAUGGUUGUCGUCAGCUCGUGUCGUGAGAUGUUGGGUUAAGUCCCGCAACGAGCGCAACCCUUAUUACUAGUUGCCAGCAUUUAGUUGGGCACUCUAGUGAGACUGCCGGUGACAAACCGGAGGAAGGA
rnacentral:rRNA from 1 species